AAUAAGUGCAGUUUUGCACUAUUCACGUUCAACAUUUGACCGUUCGUCUUAUUUAAAAAUUUUUUAUGAUUAGUAUUUUUAUUGCUAUUAUAUGAUAAAAUGUGAAUAGUAUUUUAUGUGUGACUAAAUAUUUUCACAAAUUUUUCAAAUAAGACGGACGAUCAAACGUUGGGCACGGAUAUCCACGAAUGCACUUAUU
rnacentral:pre_miRNA from 1 species